UUAGCUGAGAGGUGGUGCAUGGCCGUCGUCAGUUCGUACUGUGAAGCAUCCUGUUAAGUCAGGCAACGAGCGAGACCCACGUCCACAGUUGCCAGCAUACCCUCCGGGGUGAUGGGUACACUGUGGAGACCGCCGCUGCUAAAGCGGAGGAAGGAGUGGGCAACGGUAGGUCAGUAUGCCCCGAAUCUCCCGGGCUACACGCGGGCUACAAUGGUUGGUACAAUGGGCAUCUACCCCGAAAGGGGAAGGAAAUCUCUUAAAGCCAAUCGUAGUUCGGAUUGAGGGCUGCAACUCGCCCUCAUGAAGCUGGAAUCCGUAGUAAUCGCGUUUCAACAGAACGCGGUGAAUACGUCCCUGCUCCUUU
rnacentral:rRNA from 1 species